rnacentral:lncRNA from 1 species
ACACUUCCGGUACCUGCACAUGUCCCCAAAAAACUCCAAAUCAGACUCAGGGCCUCUUCGGCCAAUUUUAGAAUUCCAGCACGGCGGCUCUACCGUGCUCUAGUGACGGUGCCGUUGCUCACGGCGGCGAUCUGCCUUGGGUUGGUUGUUUUCGGCCGUUUCUGGCUGAAUUCAGCCAAACAAGCACCAAUUCCUGCGAGGAAACACACGUAGGGCCCUCAGUGGGCCAAAAAAAUACAGAAAAAUGAGACUUACAGGUGGUAGAGCACUCAGGUGCGGUGACUCUUCCAGUGCGAGUAGCGAUUUGGAAUUUUGCUCUGGUCAACCUGUAGAGGAAAGGACGGUGGUCACAGUGGCGUAAAAAUUACAUCGAACGGGAAUCGGGAAGGGCCUCAUCGGAGGCAAAAAUCGACAAAACCUGCGGCAGGGCCGCUGGGCUUUGGCGGCGUUUUUUGGCCAAUUGGCUGGUGGUUUGGCUCUGAUUUGGCCACAGGAGGGUUCAGCAUCAAAAUCUGAGCCAAGGGGAGAAAUUUUACCUCGUUUGGCAGCCAAAAAGUGCUCCAGUGCGGCGGCAGGUCCAGUGGUUGGGCUGUCUUCUCCGGCGAGGGCUCUGGCAGCUAGGGUUUGGGGUUGGGUGUGGAUGAGAUUAUUUAUAACCUUCCCCUU